UGCCAUUAGUUACCCGGACGCGCCUUCUAUCCUAUAUCCACGUAAAAUGCUCCCUGCUGUCACUUUUGGGACACUCCCCUCACCCACUGCCCCCAGAGGCCGACACAGUUUCGCAACAGCCUUCUCAAGACUUCCUCAGAGCCCCUUAAUUGCGGGACCCGUCAAGGCUUGGGGGCCCCAGGUCCUCCCCAAGAGCCAACUCUCGGCUCACUCCAUCCUAUUCUUGGGAGCUGAGCAGCGGCACAUUCCUCACCGUUGUCUCCCCGCCUGAAGGAGGAGGAUAAAAGCGAAACAGAAAGAAUUGGCCAAUCUCAUGCCCCAGACUAGGAUCUGAAUCUUAGAGUCAACCAAGGCCUAAUCUGCUUUCCUGCUUGGCAUCCUCAGCUUUCUGCUCAGCCCUUCCCAGAGACCCCUGGCCUUCCUGCCUGUUACCCUCUCAAAGUGAAGACUGGUGUUACAAUGGAGCACCAAAGAUUGCUGCAAACCACCAGAAGCUAGGAGAGAUACCUGGAAGAGAUUCUUCCUCAGAACCCUCAGAAGUCCUCUGCUGACCCCUUGACUUCAGACCUCUAACCUCCAGUGUAUGAGACAAUAAAUUUCUAUUCUUUAAG
ensembl:lncRNA